UACGGAAGGCAGCAGUGGGGAAUAUUGCACAAUGGGCGCAAGCCUGAUGCAGCCAUGCCGCGUGUAUGAAAAAGGCCUUCGGGUUGUAAAGUACUUUCAGUCGUGAGGAAGGUGUUAAGGUUAAUAACCUUAGCAAUUGACGUUAGCGACAGAAGAAGCACCGGCUAACUCCGUGCCAGCAGCCGCGGUAAUACGGAGGGUGCGAGCGUUAAUCGGAAUUACUGGGCGUAAAGGGCACGCAGGCGGUUAAUUAAGUUGGAUGUGAAAUCCCCGGGCUUAACCUGGGAAUGGCAUUCAAGACUGGUUAGCUAGAGUCUUGUAGAGGGGGUAGAAUUCCAUGUGUAGCGGUGAAAUGCGUAGAGAUGUGGAGGAAUACCGGUGGCGAAGGCGGCCCCUGGACAAAGACUGACGCUCAUGUGCGAAAGCGUGGGGAGCAAACAGGGAUUAGAACC
rnacentral:rRNA from 1 species